rnacentral:misc_RNA from 1 species
GAUGAAGAACGUAGCGAAAUGCGAUAAGUAGUGUGAAUUGCAGAAUUCAGUGAAUCAUCGAAUCUUUGAACGCACAUUGCGCCCCUUGGUAUUCCAUGGGGCAUGCCUGUUCGAGCGUCAUUUGUACCUUCAAGCUUUGCUUGGUGUUGGGUGUUUGUCUCGCCUUUGCGUGUAGACUCGCCUUAAAAUAAUUGGCAGCCGGCGUAUUGAUUUCGGAGCGCAGUACAUCUCGCGCUUUGCACUCAUAACGACAGCGUCCAAAAGUACAUUUUACACUCUUGACCUCGGAUCAGGUAGGGAUACCCGCUGAACUUAAGCAUAUCAAUAAGCUGAGGA